GAAGAAAUAAGAACUAAUAAUAAAUUGAUAGAUGGCAAUAGAAUGAUGCAAUAGUAGAAUAUAAUGACACACAGAUAGAAGACACGUAAGGCAUAAGAUAUUGAUCUAAUUAGAUGUAUUAUAGUUUGUUCCCUGUCUGAUUUAUGGUUAUUGGGAAACUUUAUAAUUAGUUUUCUUUAAAGAUAUUAAUUAGCGUAUAAGAAUAGCAUCCUUUAAGAGUGAAAUCAUUUGAGAAAAGUCAGCGUUUUUCUCUUUGCUGUUCAAUGUAGAACGUCAUAGUUAGCUCUAGUACUUGCAUAAAACAUCAUAACAAAUUAAUUGCCGCCAAAAGGAUGCUGUUGAGAAUAAGUGGAUCAUUGGUUGGCACUGCUAGAAUAAAAUACUUGGAAAUAGAAGAUAUGACCAAUGAAAAUUAAAUAAAGUAGCAGAUACAGUUAUAGUCCAUAGAGAGGGAAAAGUGUUGUAUAAGUUAUAUGCUAAGUAUAAUGCAUUUUUAAUUCAAUAAAAAAAAUGAUCAGACUAUUAAUAAGGAUCUAAACAAGAAUAAUUAAGCUACUAAUAGUUGAACGAUGAACUUCUUUGUUUGUAAAGAUAGAUUACAGGGAAACAAUUUAUCGGCAUAGGAAAUGCGACAAAAUCCGGUUUUAUUUAACAUCUUCCGAAGCAGAUGGUCAGUUAAUGGUUCGUCAUGAAUAUCGUCAAGCUGACCUACAUACGCGGCACCAGGACAUGGAUCUUUCCUUGUGUUUGAUCAGCGAAUUACACUUUAAAUAUGCAACCGAGUUACAUUUGACGAAAGUUGAUGAAUUUCUCGCAUUGGAAUUCACCUUUCGUUACGAAAUCUCUUUGAUAUUCAUUAGCUGUCAAUUUCCACGUUUGCCACUCAGCUACGAACAAUCAACAACAUGUCGCACUUUCAAGCGUGUGACGUGUUCUAUGCUAAUUUUAUAAUGAUUCUGAGUGAAAUAAAAUUUGACGAUAUCGAUAGCGGUACGCAUAAUGGACGAUUAACUUUCAAGAGAAAAUUUGGGCAAAAUGUGAAAUGGAGGAUAGUUAUUAGCAAAAUUCAAUCUCUACUUUAAAGAUAAUGAUAUUUAGAUCACCUACAAAAGCAUUCCGAUCUACAAUCGCUGAAAAGAAUGUAUCGACAGAGAAAGAAAGAAAACAAUAUCGUAUCCUGUAUCCUUCUUUUUCAAGAGUACUCGAAAAAAGGACUAUCUAAAAGAGAUCCUCUCAUCGAUGAAAUUAAACCCAGUUCGAUUCGCGGAAACCUAUCUUUCUACGAGAAAAAAAAUAUCGGUGGAUGAUUCCAUCUGGCCAACUCGGUCGUUGAGACUGCAAAAGGAAGAACGAUUCUCGUGUCGCUUUUUCACGGAACAUACAUCUAUGGCUCGAGUCUAGCGAUCCAUCGGCCGAUCUGUGCAGGUGCACACACCAGAGAGAAGACAUUUUGCGUGCCUUCUCUUCCCUUUCUCUGUCUAGUACACGUACCACACGUAUGGCAAACGUGAGACGCAUAAUACGUUAGCCAUUUGAGAGGCAAGCGUCAUGAUCGCGAUUCUAUGGUUUCAUAUCGAAUAGUGUGAUUUUAUUAUCGCGAUUAAAUUAUUUAUCGUGAGGUUAAAUGUGAACUAUAAAUUAUUGGACAUAACCAAGGGUUGUAUUCGCAAAGAGAAUCGGACUUCUCAGGUCUUAGGAAUUAUUUAACUUUUUUUGUUCUAAAUAUAUAGAUAUUUAAUAAAUUUUCUGUUAUGUUUAUGUAAGAUGACUGUAUCAAACUCUAAUCCUCUUUUAAUUCAACUUGCGUAAGAAAUCAGUCAAAGAAAAUAUUUCCCUUCCUUCAAUGAAAAUUUCAGACUCUCUAAAAGCCCGAAGAAAUACGUUAGAAUGAAACAACAGACAAAAGGACGAUGUGUAACAGACUAGAAAAAAUGAACGUAGAAAGAAUAAAGAGAGGGAGAAGAAAAUAAAGGCAGAACUUGGUUGGCCGGCUACCUGAUCAUCCCGAGUCUGACGCCCUUUAACCGAGUUUAGGCCGACGGCAAGUAUUAUUAGCCAGAGAUCGCGUGCUUCCGUGUCCUUACCUCAUGAAACAAUGAGAUCGUCCGCGAAAGAUAUGCGCCAGAGCGUUCUACGUUCGCGGUAUAUCGAGCUCACGCGAGACUCUCUCUUUACCCAUAGAAAUCCAAUCAUCUUGAUAUUAUUCUUUCUCUUUUUAUAAUUCAUUUUUUCCUUCUUUAACUCUAUGUCUCUGUCUUUCUCUUUCUCCCUUGAGCUAGGCGAACCCGUUAUAGGUCUCCUUGAACUUGCUCUCCAACCAGAUGAUGAAUUAUCUCUAUACUGAACAAGACCAGAACGUGCCCAAGCUCCUACAGACCGGUCACAAAGACGAUUUUCAAUGGGGUCGUGAAGACGUAGGGAACUUAAGAUCGUGGAUUUUAACAGCUUAGUGUUGCAGGUUUCCCAAGCAGCGAAACCGCCUGAGGGUGUCUUUCGAUGGAGAUACAAUCACUGCGUAGCGUCAUGACGAGAAGAGAAUCCUUCGAUUCAACGAAGGAAAAAGGACGGCUCUUCUCUUUCACUAUCGACGAAUCAAGGCCCUUCGAUUUUACGCUAGCGACUCCUCCAAUCUUUAUACCGUGUGGCUGUGCGACCGCGUAACGCGUUCCCCGGGACGAUUAACCGUAUAGUUUGGUCAGUUAUGACCGACGCAGGAAUCACCGUAAUUACGUAAUCACGAAAUUGGCCUGCCCCUAAGGAACAGAAGGCAAAUUGAGACAAAUGGUAAAAGGAAUCAUGGCCACCAAGCCGACAAAGAUGCCGGGCAACGACGUCGCUGAACAUUUCUUCUUUCAACCGAAUUCUGGCCAACCUUUUUUCUGCUAAUUCGACAGAAGUACGACUUUUGAGCGUGAAGAAGCUGGGAUGUUAAUAAUAACGAGCUCUAAGUUUGACAGUAUUCUUAAGUUCAGUGAUAUGACUUUCACUAUCUUGAGAUUAUUAUUUGAGGGAAUAACUUGUAAUACUGAGAAUAUCGAUACUAUCGUAUUAUAUAUAUAUGACCAGAAAUAGGAUUCCUUAUGAGAUAUGUUUUAAAAUAACUGCUUUAACAUUCUCAUAGUAAUUAAAAAUUAUGUUCUUGUAUUUAUAGGAAGAAUUCAUUUCCUAUGCUUACGUUAAACUCUUGUA